AUCUUCUACACAAACAGAAACACACAAAUUGAAGACACAAACACAUGUGAUCAGUUUGGUCCUCACAGGAAAUACCACCAGGAAGCCAACUUUUAUCCAUCCGUGUGUGUGUGUGUGUGUGUGGGUGGCAGAAGAGAGACUUUUGAGGGGAAGUGUGGCGGCUGGAAGGAAAAGAGAAGUGGCCACAACGGAGGAGAAGAAAAAAAGAGGAAUUGAGCUCAGGAUGGAAAGUAGCACGCAAAAGUCGUCUGCGGACAAAAAGUAUUGAAACACAAUUUUUGUUGAUAGACUUGACUCGAUUGAACCACUUCAGUCUUCACUUCAAUCAGCGUGUGUGUGAUUCUGCGCAAAGUUUACAACAUUCCUUCAUGCACAAUUGAUGUUCACGGAAGUGUAAGAUAGGAACGGAUAAACGUGGGGACGGUCAUGGCUUCUCAGUGAGCUGCAGGAAUAAUCUGAGUUUUUCCCAGAGGAUGAUGAAAAUAUGCCUACAGCUGGACGCAAGCCCGUGGAUGAUCCAUGACGGUGGGUGUUCGCCAAGAGACAAGCCCGGAGGGAAGCUGCUUACUCCAAGCGGACGCAAUUUGGUCUGAGCGCCUCUCGACUCGAGGACUCCAAUGACAAUCAAGAGAAUCAAUCUGAAGGCAAUCUGCCUCGUACGCUCGUAUGCGGUCACAUCUUCUGCACGUCCUGCCUGGAGUCGCUGAAAUGGGACAAUGUGGUCCAGUGUCCCGAGUGUGAGGUGGAUUCGGUCCUGCCUCAAGACGGCGUGUUUGGGCUGCAGGAGGACAGCCGCAUCAUUGGCCUCGUCUACACCACCAGAAUGAAUAAGAUG